GACGAACGCUGGCGGCGUGCUUAACACAUGCAAGUCGAACGAAGUGGCGAACGGGUGAGUAACGCGUAAUCAACCUGCCCUUCAGAGGGGGACAACAGGUGGAAACGACUGCUAAUACCGCAUACUGAAGGAGGGGCUUGCGUCUGAUUAGCUAGUUGGAGGGGUAACGGCCCACCAAGGCGAAGAACAGUAGCCGGACUGGGGGGAGGGACGGGCAAAUUGGGAAUGGGAAACGGCCCAGACCCCUACGGGAGGCAGCAGUGGGGAAUCUUCCGCAAAGGAAGAAAGGCUGACGGAGCAACGCCGCGUGAGGGAUGACGGCCUUCGGGUUGUAAAGCUCUGUUAAUCGGGACGCGGUACCGGAAUAGAAAGCCACGGCUAACUACGUGCCAGCCGCCGCGGUAAUAC
rnacentral:rRNA from 1 species